rnacentral:rRNA from 1 species
UAAGCCGUUGAAGGUGUCCUGUGAGGGGUGCUGGAGGUAUCAGAAGUGCGAAUGCUGACAUAAGUAACGAUAAAGCGGGUGAAAAGCCCGCUCGCCGGAAGACCAAGGGUUCCUGUCCAACGUUAAUCGGGGCAGGGUGAGUCGACCCCUAAGGCGAGGCCGAAAGGCGUAGUCGAUGGGAAACGGGUUAAUAUUCCCGUACUUGGUGUUACUGCGAAGGGGGGACGGAGAAGGCUAUGUUGGCCGGGCGACGGUUGUCCCGGUUUAAGCGUGUAGGUGUGUGUUCCAGGUAAAUCCGGUUCACUUUAACACUGAGGCGUGAUGACGAGGCACCACGGUGCUGAAGCAACAAAUGCCCUGCUUCCAGGAAAAGCCUCUAAGCAUCAGGUAACAUCAAAUCGUACCCCAAACCGACACAGGUGGUCAGGUAGAGAAUACCAAGGCGCUUGAGAGAACUCGGGUGAAGGAACUAGGCAAAAUGGUGCCGUAACUUCGGGAGAAGGCACGCUGACACGUAGGUGAAGUGAUUUACUCACGGAGCUGAAGUCAGUCGAAGAUACCAGCUGGCUGCAACUGUUUAUUAAAAACACAGCACUGUGCAAACACGAAAGUGGACGUAUACGGUGUGACGCCUGCCCGGUGCCGGAAGGUUAAUUGAUGGGGUCAGCGCAAGCGAAGCUCCUGAUCGAAGCCCCGGUAAACGGCGGCCGUAACUAUAACGGUCCUAAGGUAGCGAAAUUCCUUGUCGGGUAAGUUCCGACCUGCACGAAUGGCGUAAUGAUGGCCAGGCUGUCUCCACCCGAGACUCAGUGAAAUUGAACUCGCUGUGAAGAUGCAGUGUACCCGCGGCAAGACGGAAAGACCCCGUGAACCUUUACUAUAGCUUGACACUGAACAUUGAGCCUUGAUGUGUAGGAUAGGUGGGAGGCUUUGAAGCGUGGACGCCAGUCUGCGUGGAGCCGACCUUGAAAUACCACCCUUUAAUGUUUGAUGUUCUAACGUGGACCCGUAAUCCGGGUUGCGGACAGUGUCUGGUGGGUAGUUUGACUGGGGCGGUCUCCUCCUAAAGAGUAACGGAGGAGCACGAAGGUUGGCUAAUCCUGGUCGGACAUCAGGAGGUUAGUGCAAUGGCAUAAGCCAGCUUGACUGCGAGCGUGACGGCGCGAGCAGGUGCGAAAGCAGGUCAUAGUGAUCCGGUGGUUCUGAAUGGAAGGGCCAUCGCUCAACGGAUAAAAGGUACUCCGGGGAUAACAGGCUGAUACCGCCCAAGAGUUCAUAUCGACGGCGGUGUUUGGCACCUCGAUGUCGGCUCAUCACAUCCUGGGGCUGAAGUAGGUCCCAAGGGUAUGGCUGUUCGCCAUUUAAAGUGGUACGCGAGCUGGGUUUAGAACGUCGUGAGACAGUUCGGUCCCUAUCUGCCGUGGGCGCUGGAAGACUGAGGGGGGCUGCUCCUAGUACGAGAGGACCGGAGUGGACGCAUCACUGGUGUUCGGGUUGUCAUGCCAAUGGCACUGCCCGGUAGCUAAAUGCGGAAAAGAUAAGUGCUGAAAGCAUCUAAGCACGAAACUUGCCCCGAGAUGAGUCUUCCCUGAGACUUUGAGUCUCCUGAAGGAACGUUAAAGACGAUGACGUUGAUAGGCCGGGUGUGUAAGCGCAGCGAUGCGUUGAGCUAACCGGUACUAAUGAACCGUGAGG